rnacentral:rRNA from 1 species
GACGAACGCUGGCGGCGUGCUUAACACAUGCAAGUCGAACGGAAAGGCCCUGCUUUUGUGGGGUGCUCGAGUGGCGAACGGGUGAGUAACACGUGAGUAACCUGCCCUUGACUUUGGGAUAACUUCAGGGAACUGGGGCUAAUACCGGAUAGGAGCUCCUGCUGCAUGGUGGGGGUUGGAAAGUUUCGGCGGUUGGGGAUGGACUCGCGGCUUAUCAGCUUGUUGGUGGGGUAGUGGCUUACCAAGGCUUUGACGGGUAGCCGGCCUGAGAGGGUGACCGGCCACAUUGGGACUGAGAUACGGCCCAGACUCCUACGGGAGGCAGCAGUGGGGAAUAUUGCACAAUGGGCGGAAGCCUGAUGCAGCAACGCCGCGUGCGGGAUGACGGCCUUCGGGUUGUAAACCGCUUUCGCCUGUGGCGAAGCGUGAGUGACGGUAAUGGGUAAAGAAGCACCGGCUAACUACGUG